AUUGAACGCUGGCGGCAUGCCUUACACAUGCAAGUCGAACGGCAGCACGGACUUCGGUCUGGUGGCGAGUGGCGAACGGGUGAGUAAUGCAUCGGAACGUGCCAUUGAGUGGGGGAUAACGUAGCGAAAGUUGCGCUAAUACCGCAUAUUCUGUGAGCAGGAAAGCAGGGGACCGCAAGGCCUUGCGCUCUUUGAGCGGCCGAUGUCAGAUUAGCUAGUUGGUGAGGUAAAGGCUUACCAAGGCGACGAUCUGUAGCGGGUCUGAGAGGAUGAUCCGCCACACUGGAACUGAGACACGGUCCAGACUCUACGGAGGCAGCAGUGGGGAAUUUUGGACAAUGGGGGCAACCCUGAUCCAGCCAUGCCGCGUGAGUGAAGAAGGCCU
rnacentral:rRNA from 1 species